rnacentral:pre_miRNA from 1 species
UUAACUUAAUGUUGUAUGGAGUCGGAAUGUUUGCCUACGUUGGCCGCUAGGGGCGCUGUUCCAAUGCAUACAAAUUCGAGUUA